rnacentral:rRNA from 1 species
CCCUUAGAUGUUCUGGGCCGCACGCGCGCUACACUGAUGCAUUCAACGAGUCUAAAACCUGCUCUGAUAGGGGUGGGUAAUCUUUUGAAUGUGCAUCGUGAUUGGGAUAGAUGAUUGCAAUUUUUCAUCUUCAACGAGGAAUGCCUAGUAAACGCAAGUCAUCAGCUUGCAUUGAUUACGUCCCUGCCCUGUGUACACACCGCCCGUCGCUCCUACCGAUUGAAUGAUCCGAUGAAUAUCAUGGAUUGAGGAUGCAAGUAGGUUAGCCUAUCUUCAUCUUCGAGAAGUGAAGUAAAUCUUAUCAUUUAGAGGAAGGAGAAGUCGUAACA